AAAGUAGACUAACAUUGGUUUCAAUGUUGAUCUUCCCACCUUUGUGCAAUGUAAAUAACAAUUUACUCAAUUUUAUAACAUGACUGAAAAAUUUUCAUUAGUUUAAUUGAACACUGUAAACAAUUUUUUAUUGUUUUCAGUCAGUAAAUUGGAUUGGAAUUUUUAUA
rnacentral:misc_RNA from 1 species